rnacentral:rRNA from 1 species
GCAAGUCGAACGGUAACAGGCUAGAUUGCUAGUGCUGACGAGUGGCGGACGGGUGAGUAACUCGUAGGAAUCUGACUAGUAGUGGGGGAUAGCCCGUAGAAAUCCGGCUUAACACCGCAUACGCCCUACGGGGGAAAACAGGGGAUCUUCGGACCUUGUGCUAGUAGAUGAGCCUGCGUUAGAUUAGCUAGUUGGUGGGGUAAGAGCUCACCAAGGCAACGAUCUAUAGCUGGUCUGAGAGGAUGAUC